rnacentral:rRNA from 1 species
CUCCCUAUCCUCCCAGAUCCCAUGGUGCCUGAAUCCACGAAGCAGGCAGGUCCGAGACGCCCUCUCCCGCAGCUCGGACCCCUCCCUUUCCCCAUCUCAGCGAAGCCCCUCCUCCUAGAUCCCACCGCACCCGAGCCCCACCUUUCAUCCUCGUCCAUGAAGCAGGCAGCUUCUAGGCGCCGUCUCCCACAAGCUCAAACCCGAGUUGGUCGAGCCACCUCCCGACAGCGAUCUGCAGCAGGACCGUGCCGCAAGCAGAAACUCCACCAUAACAAUGGCGUCGCCCCGUAUCUCAGAAUUGCCGCCGUCACGCCCUCAUCAUUUGCCAGAAACUUCACCGACGCCCGUCGUCACGACCCUGCAUGCGCGCGUCAACAGGAGCAUCUCCCCGCACUAGCAUCGACCGCCUCUCGUCGUCUCUGCACUCUUUGCUGCUACAUCAGAGGGAUCCGGUGGUGGAGUGCAGGAGGAAGGUGGGGGACGUGGUGGAGUAGCUGGGCCAGUGGUGGUCCUCCGGGCCGAUGGUGGGGUAGCUGGCGCGGCGCGCUGGUCCAAACCAUCUGAGAGGGAGCGCGGGGAUCCGUUCAUUGUCCGCCGCGAGCGGACCUAGUAUUCCGCUGGUUUGUACGUUGACCCGGUGCCCGGUGCUGCGCUGCCACCGACACCGCCCUGCUUCCUCCGGACAGAGGAGUGGCCGGACCAGGGGAGAUGGAGGCGCGGUGCACGCGGCUACCUGGGAUCUCCGGCCAUGGCGAGGAGAAAUGGAGGUGCCCUGGCAGGAUUAGCAGCGGCGUCUCCCUCUCCAGUGGGCGCCGGCGCACCAUAUCUUGCCUUCCCCUCGAACGAAGGCCGACGGCGGCUGCGCGUUUGCGUUAGUUGGGGGAAGAGAGAGGAUAAGGGAGCGUGGGCGACGGGAGGAAGACGCCGGUUUUUCCUUACAUUGCGUGACAUAACUGCGGGUUGAUUUCUAGUAACCGCGAGGGCUGUUCCUCAAAAACGAAACGUUUUUCUGUAUGACUUAAACAUGGAGCGCGGGUUGAUUCUAGAAAACAGUAGGGUCUUUUUUGUAAAAUUGGAUGACGGACGGGCAGAAGCACUAUUUG